rnacentral:lncRNA from 1 species
UUUUCCUUCCUGGUCUAUCUCAGGAGACUGGAUAUAGUUCUCUGGGUUAUACAAGAGGAACUUGUUGCUUAUCCUUGUUGAAUAGUUAUGUAAAUAGCUUGUCAUCUUUCAGUUUUGCCAAGUCCCUCUCAAUUUAAUCAUUCUGGCAUUUCCAUACCAGAGUUUUCUUUCUAAAACAUCCAUAAGAUCAUGCUUUUCCUAUUUAAAAAUCUACUAUCAUUCUCUAUAGCCUCAAGGAUAAAUCCCUAGUUCAGAGGCUGACAUGUAAACUCCAUUAUUCAAUCACAGCAAACAUGCCCUGCCCUAUGGUUUACCCAUUUCUUCUUUUUUGGUCUCUUGAGCCUGUGUUUUUAUUUUCUAAUUUUUAUUGUAGUAUAGUUGAUUUACAAUGUUCCGUUAGUUUCAGGUGUACAGCAAAGUGAAUUUGUUUUAUAUAUACAUGUAUUAUAUAUAUGUUCAUAUCCAUUACUUUUCAUAUUUUUUCCAUUAUAGGUUAUUAUAAGAUGCUGAAUAUAGUCCCUGUGCUACACAGUAGGUCCUUGUUAUUUGUGUACUUUAUGUACAGUAGUGUGUAUAUGUUAAUCCCUCCUCCGAAUUUAUUCCUCCCUGCUUCCCAUUUCUAAUAAGACCUUUCCUCUAGACGCGAUCUCUGCUCUCAGGUCAUCCCCAGACUAAGAGUCCUAUCACCUUGUCUAAACUCACACCUCUCAGGAAUGCAGUGUAAUCUUCAUACACCGUGUGUUUUAAAACACACUUAUCAUGUAGUCAUCAAGUACGUUUUGCUUAUACUUGAAUGUGGAAGAUCUAGGAACUUCCUAAGAUGAAUUCAGCUUUUCUAACUUCAACAAACGUCUGAACAACACGUUAACAGUGAUAUAUUGAUAAACAUAAUGAAAUUCAAACAGGAUGUUUCAGAAUUAUCACUGUAAAAUGAAAAAGCACGUUUCACAGAUUCCAUGAAUUCUUUUCCCCCACCUCUCAUCCCUUCAAAACAAGGCAAAUAUACUCAUUAUUUCUACUGAAACCAGUUUUUUGGCAGCAGUUUCUUUAGAAAUGUUAGGGCUACAUUUUGGCAUCCAGUUAUGCACAUGUACACUUAUGAUUCAAAAGGGAUUUGAAUCUUAUUACUUGAUGGAUUUAGGUAUGGGCAUCAAAUCGGCAGUGAAAUGCAAGGCAAAAAUAUCAUUUUGUAAACAGUUUGCGUGCAUAGUGUUUAUUCCCAUUCUUAUAAAACAACUGAAACUUCUUGAGAUAAUUGCCACAUCCUACAAUGGCUUUAGCUCUAAAAUGAAUUCUGUUUCAUCCAUCAUCCAGUGAAGCUGCUGGCUUAUCUCUAUGUAUCAGACUGAUAUCAGAUUAGCAAGUUAUAUCUAUUGCUGGUAUUUGUUUAGAAGUCAUUCUAUUCUGUUUCCCUUUAGAGAGCACUUGCUGAAGUAAAACUGAAGGAAAAAAUAAUAAAGCACUAGGCUCCUUAACAUUUAUGAAUCAACAUCCCCAGUGCUCCUCUCAUGCCUUUAAAACUGGUGGGUAAAUUAAACAAAAACAGCAUGGCACGAGAUCACAGGAUCUCAAUUCCUCUGGGAUUCCACUUAAUGCAAAUUCCACUUUUGGAGCUGAAAGGAAAUUAGAGAAGUUUAGUGUGGAUAGAAUGUUUCAACUCAGGAAUUUAAAAGAAACCAGAUAAACUCUUGAGCAUCUGCUUGAUGUAAUCACAUUGGGGAAUACAACGUCUUGAAAUGAAGCUCCAAAAAAAUAAAUAAUAAAAUAGCUAUUUUCCCCAAAGCCUAGCACCCAGUGUAAGUUAAUGUUAUUUUUUAAUGACUUCCACUGGUGAAGUGAUUUUUCAAAGACUGUUGAAUCCAAACCAAUUCUUUGCCACAUGAAAACUUUAGAUAUUGCACGGAUGCAUAAAUUAACAGAAACUUCACCAUGGCUGAACCAGUCUUUGAGGUUCUAGUACUUUCUCCCUAUAUGAAAGUUAGUCUACCUGAAAAUAUUCUACCUUUAUCUGCCUUGCUUCUCCUUGACGGCUGAUGGAAUAAUGGUUAGAUCACUGGGUAGUCUGAAAUGCAUUCAGUGUAUAAUUUUUUCUACUAAGUCUCAAUGUGGCUCAUAGGCGGGAAAAUCCAUUUUCAGGUGUGUUCUUUGUCACCUGAUCCAAAGAUCACCGGCAAGGGAAUGACUAAUGGCAGCAGAUAGCAUCAGGCAGCCAUUGAAGCUCCUCUCGGCUUAGGUGUAAAUCAUACACAAGGAAGGCACAGAACUUUAAAGGCAGAAAUUCUAUAAAACCAGUUGAGCUGAUUAGCACUAAAUUACUGAUGUUCCAUCUGCUGGGGUGGUAAUAUUUUUUUUUUAACUGCCUGACUGAAAAGCAUCAUUUCCCAAAGAAUCCAUGUUCAGCAGUCCCAUGAGAUGUACCUUUUGGAUUCCCCAAAGAAGGAGGUGGUGACAAGUAGGAAAUCUUUUUAGGAGGGUUUAAUCCCCCAUUAAGAAAACUAGCAACUCAUACAUGAAGACAUUAGGAAAAUAGGUUUUCCAAUAGUGCGCAAAUGUAUGUUUUCCCAUCAGAGCGCUGAAUGGAAGUAAAGACUGGAGCCUCCAGAUUUUCAAACGUGUAUAUAAAAGUAUGAAUAAAACAGAAGAGAAUUUAUGUCCCAUCACACUAUCCUAUAUUAUACAGAUGUUAAGGUUAACAGCCAACCUGAGCU